rnacentral:rRNA from 1 species
AUUGAACGCUGGCGGCAGGCCUAACACAUGCAAGUCGAACGAGUGGCGGACGGGUGAGUAAUGUCUGGGAACCUGCCUGAUGGCGGGGGAUAACUACUGGAAACGGUAGCUAAUACCGCAUACCAUCGGAUGUGCCCAGAUGGGAUUAGCUAGUUGGUGGGGUAACGGCUCACCUAGGCGACGCUCCCUAGCUGGUCUGAGAGGAGGACCAGCCACACUGGAACUGAGACACGGCCCAGACUCCUACGGGAGGCAGCAGUGGGGAAUAUUGCACAAUGGGCGCAAGCCUGAUGCAGCCAUGCCGCGUGUAUGAAGAAGGCCUUCGGGUUGUAAAGUACUUUUAGCGGGGAGGCGUUACCCGCAGAAGAAGCACCGGCUAACUACGUGCCAGCAGCCGCGGUAAUAC